UCUCCACAGGCCCCGCAGUGAGGGCGUGGCUCCCAGGUUCCACGUCCUGCGAGAGGGGACCAUGGCCCGGGGCUCAGCAGCCUCCUCUGGGUGCCGGGCAGCCUGCGGAGAGAACACGGGAAGAGAGCUUGAAGAGGGCUGGGGGCACCCUGGAAAGUCUGGAGGGUCUGUGAAGGAUGGGUCACCUGUUACCCAGCCCUGCAGCCUCAGUUGCAACAUCUCCCAAGGACCCUGGGCUGGCAGGACGAAAUGGGUUCUUUCUCCAUUCGGGGGGUGCUUGUUCCUGAAUAUGGAGUGCUCAGAUGUGUCUGGGGCACUCUGAAGAGACCUCACGUCUGAGCCCCUCCUCCCGAGCCUGGCAGCAGGAAGGUAUGGCGGGCCACUGCCCCACAUGGAAGAAGCACUGGGAGCUAGCAACAUCCUGAUUGCCCUGGGAAGGGCUGUACCCAAUUUACACCAUCCUUGGCCGCAUGUUUGCAUGAGAACGACUUUCCAUGCUGAGUUACAGCUUUUCUCUGGGAUCUGGAAUCCAUACCCUGGCUGGCUCUCCUGCGAGGCACAUACGGAGAUGCCUGAGUGACGGCUGUCAAGAGAGGGGAGUGGCUGGCUCUGCCUGGGAGCAUUUGUCAGCUGGGUGGGGCCAGGUGGGGUCCUGCCUGCUCUUAAGCCCCCAGCUACUUCCCAGGUGGGUCCCCCCACCCUGCUGUCAACCCCUGGGAGGAUCGUCCACUGUGCUCCGACAUCACUUCUGCUCUCCCCCGUCCAGGCCCUGGAUGCUGGCAUCUGGCAAUAAGUGAAUCAGUCACUGCUGGAAAGAAAAUCCCUGAGAGGUGGGGUCAGGGGAGUCCCCAGGCCAGGGAAGCCCAGAGCUCUGAGAAAACCACAGCCCAGCCCCCACCACCCCCUCGCCUCUCAGCACUGUCCCUGCCCUUCCACUGUGGCGUGGGUGGCCCUGGCCAGCACCAUGGUAGCCAGGCUGGGCCGGCCUCCUGGCCUCCUGCUCUGGGAGUGGCCCGUGUUUGCAGAUGGCAACGGAAGUUUUGACGCUGAUGAUCCACCAGCCACCCACGGCUCUCUCUCUCCUGGUUCUUAGUCAUUCUCACAAGGCUCAACCGCCCGGCCACCCCACGGACGUCACAGCAUCCAGGUGACAGGGAAGAAGGGAGCAGGAUCGCUGUGGCUUCGGUGGCUUCCCGGAGAGGGGAGGCCUAGCGACGAGCAGCACUGAAACUCCAUUACAGGUCCAGCACACUCCACAAGGGGAUCUAACGGAAACACCUUCUGAGGCCUUCUGAGCUGGCAGAGGCUAUCUGCCUGGUGUGAUCUAUGACACUGUUGUGUUUCCUGAUAACACCCAGCUCGGCUUCUCCUGCCAAGCUCAUAAAAGAAAGAAGAUAAGCCCACACUUGUCCUGCAAAGGAUUGCUGGAGGAUGAAUGAGCCAAGGCACACAGGAGGCGCUCAAUACAUGCAGCACUUCUUAGGGGCCGGUUAUGUGCCCGAGUACUGUGGGAGGCACCUUCAUUCUGAGAAAUAGUGGCCUGGCCUCUUCAGAAGUGUCAAUGUCAUGAAACACACAGAAGCCCUCAGGGACUGCUCCAGAUGGAAGGAGACCGAAGAGAGACAAGUGCUCACAAAACCUGAGUGUGAGCUUCUGUUUGCCUCAGAGGACACUCUUGGGACCACUGGCAAAUCCCCGUGUGGACUGACAGUGCGAUGGUCAUGGGGUUUUGACAUUCAUUUCCUGAUUCUGAUGGUUGCACACUGGUUAUCAGAGAGAACGUCUUGCUUUUAGGGACACACGCUGACGGAUUUGAGGGGAGCGAGGCAGGUGUGCGUCCUCCUCUUGAAUAGUUCAGGGGAAGAAAAAAUGUUAACAUGAAAGUAGUCACCGGUUAACGCUCGGGAAAAAGUUAAAAGAAAUGGUGGAGGAGGGUAUUUGGGAAUUCUUUGUAUUAUUUUUGCAACUUUUCUGUAAUUAUAAAAGUCGAGAGAGAGAGAGAGAGAGAGAGAGAGAGAGAGAGAGAGAGAGAGAGAAUAUGAAAAAUAGAGGAAAUGCAUGACCCCUCUCUUGAAAGGUCACAGAGACCUGGCAGGAGGGCAUAUCUUUCUGGUGGCGGGCCUCCAGCAAAGGUGACCAUUAACCUCUGACGUGAUGCUACAAGUGGAAAAUCCCACACCUGACCUCAUGUGACGAGUCACAGAGUGUAGAUGCGCUAAAAAUGUCAAAAUUGCUCAGGAGUCUGAGACUGCAGGAUUGCAAGUUCAAGGUCAGUCUGGGCAAUUUAAAGAGACCCUGUCUCAAAAUAAAAAAUACAAAGGGCUGGGGAUGUAGCUCAGUGGCGGAGCACCCCUGAGUUCAAUCCCUAACAUUGCAAAAUAAAAAAAAAUAAGGAAAUAAAUAAAUGUCAUUCAUACAUACACACACAUAUGUAUGCCUACAUGUAUACACACACACACACACACACAAUUACCUUUAAGCCAUGUGUAUAAGGUAUAUCUGAAGCAAAAGAAUUUCCUGUUUGGUUACCCUCUCUAAAAGAUCUCAUUAUAUAUAUGCAAAUAUUCUAGAAUCUCCCCAAACCCUGAAAUGUGAAACACUCUGAUCCCACAACACUCUGGUUGAAGGGAUCCUCAACCUGCAGAUGAAUGCAGCAGGUGCCUAAUGAACCUCCAGUGCCCCACGUGAGUGAGUCUCUCUGCUGUGGGGGCGGGGAUGGUGUCACCAGGGCUACACCCUCGGUCAGGGCCACGGCAAGUACGUAGGCCAAGGAUAGACUGGACACCAAGAGCUGGGCCAGCAACUUCCUGACAAAAUAAGGUGUUCCCUGCAAACUAACAAGGUCCCGGGUGGCCAGGAGGCCCUUGGCUGAGGUGACCCGAGGCCCCGUGGGUGGAAUGAGGCAGGCAGAAGGGGAGGCCAGCGCUGUCCAGGCCCUCGGGCAAAUAGCUAACCUGCAUCUGCAGCCCACUGGGCCCUGGCGGCAGCGGGACCCCACCCCAAGGAUGAAUGAACAGUGACCGUGGCCAAGGAAUGUGGCCUACAGCGCAGAGCAACGCAGCCCAGCCCGGCCUAGCCCAGUCUGCCUGGCAGGUUGUGGCCCAGCCCCUGCGGGCCACCUCAGGCUGCUGGGCCUCACGGAUGACCUCCUGGGGCCUCCCCUCCUGUGACCUGUCCAGGGGCGAGCGUCACACCUGAGUGGGUGGAGAGGUGCUGUCUUCAGUCCCAUGACUCACCAUCCGCUUCUCUCCCCUCCAGACGCAGGGUGUCAGGGCUACAGCAAGGGUUGUCCCCAGCCUGGAAGGACUCCCAGGAGGGAAAGUGGGGCUUGCACUCGAGCUUUGGGCUCCAUUCAUGAAAGCCGAGAAGCGUGUGAUUACCAGAGGAUACGAGCUUGCCUGCGACAAGCUGCUAAACCCCAGGAGCAGGACGCCACUCCACUUAACACCCGCGGCUGCCGCGGGGCCAGCAGUGACUCAGGCCCUGACCUCGGCCGCCUGCUUAAUUUAGAGCAGUGGCAGCUGCCCCCCUCCCAAAAUUAGCUGCCCUGUUCAGCCUCGGUCCUGCCACUCACGGGCCUCUGAGCGCCGGCACUUUGGAAAUCCAGUGGGCACAGGGCUCUGGGAGGUGUUCUCCACCCAAGUUCAAGUUCAAGUAGUACCAGCUUUGGUGGGAAGUCACUCUCCUCCUCCCACUCACCUCUGGCCUCCAUCGCCUCCUCUGAGACUAUCACAGCCACCAGGCCCAGGGAUCCCUCCCAGGCACAGUCCCCAUUUAUAAGUUGACACUAAAAAGUUUCACAGCACUUCAUUUCCACUCUUAACCCCCAGGAGCCUCCGCGUCCCACAUACAGACACCUUGGUUUCCUCCCUCCUUGUUUUUUUCUUUGCAGUGCUAGGGUUGAACCCAGGGCUUCAUACAUGCCGGGCAAACCCUCUACCACUGAGCCAUAUCCCCUACCCUCCUUUAUUUUUAUUUUGAGACAGGGUCUCACUAAGUGGCCCAAGCUGGCCUCGAACUUUCAAUCCUCCCGCUGCAACCUCCCAAGCUGCUGAGAUUACAGGCGUGCACUAUCACUUCCAGUGGCUGUGCUUCUUUCAAAGAGUGAACUUCUCCAGCUGAUUUCACCAGUUCCCUUGACACGGAUAAUUGAGUUAUUUCGAGUCCCUUGCAACCACAAUGCUUCUCGGAUCAUCCAGGCACCUGGAUCUCUGUUCUCAUGUGUAGCAGGUAUUCCUAGGAGUGGAACUGCUGGCAUUACCAUGUUGGUGUUUGUGCUGGGGUUUGAACCCAGGGCCUUGUGCUUGCUAAGCAGCUACUCUGCCACUGAGCUCCACCCAGCCCCAGCAGAGGAACAUUUUAAAUUUUAGUUAGGAACAACCACACCUUUGAACAUUGAAUGAAAAAUAAGAACUGCGCCUAUGUGAUUAUUUUGCAUUCAAUGUCUGGAUGGAGGCUCACAGACUCCACAUUAAGAAGUCUUAGAAGGGCCAGGAGUGGUAGUGCACGCCUGUAAUCCCAGGGGUUAGGGAGACUGAGGCAGAAAGAUUGCAAGUUCAAAGCCACUUAGGGAGGCCCUAAGCAAGUUAGCAAGACCCUGUCUCAAAAUUAAAAAUAAAAAGGGCUGGGGAUGUGGCUCAGUGCUUAAGCACCCCUGUGUCCAAUCCCUGGUACCCCCAUAUCCCCCCGCAAAAAAGUCUUGGAAGCGAGAACUAGAACUUGUACAGGAAAAUUGUGUCCAGCCUCUGCUCCUGCGAGGGCGUUUGACUCGGUCCCUCCACAGGAAGCCAGCCUGUUCUGCUGUCACCGCUGGAGGAGAUGCAGUUCCGUGCUGAUUCCAGAAGUCAGAUUCUUUGUCACGCUCCACUGCCAGGGCACAUACCUCUCAUAGAUGGCCUCGGGCUCCCAGGAUGUGGCUGUCGCUGUCCGGCAGAAGUGCCAGGCCAGGGUUGCUCCUCCUCAGGGCGCUGGGGUGUGGGGUCCUGGGGCCCUGGUGGCCCCUGCGCAGCUGCCAUCUCGGGACUAUGAAACCGGACCCUGCUCAGGGAAGGCUCCGGGGCUCACACGCUCGUCAGCUGUUAAUAUUUCAGCAGCCACCAAGGACUCAGGUUAACAGACGCCACUUCAGGAAAGCACCGGGCCAAACACGGACCCCGUCAUCUUCCUCUUGGGGUCCACGUGAGACUGCAGGAUUCCACCAGGGAAGGCUAACUGGACAUGCAGCCCGCGGCGGUCAGCCUGGGGCCAGCAGGCUCAGGUGUGACCUCGGUGCCCUUGGGAGCCAGGAGCUUCCCUUGGCCAUGGGCCACAUCCUAGUGACCAGCUGGCUCUGUGUCCACCAUGAAGACGUCGCAAGGGCUCUGGCUGACCAUCCCCUGGGCCGUUCACCUGAUGGUGCCUCACUCAGCACAGUUUCCGCAAAUCUGGAGCCAAACAGCGGCCCCAGCCUGGCACGGUGGAGACACUGGGCACCUGUGACCCUUCCCACUUCCUUCCCCUCUAAGUUCCUGGAGCUCAAACUCUCUCGGUGCCUCACACUGCCCGUGUGACACGUCACAGAGGUCUUCAAGACCACGGCCUCCCUGGUGGUGUGACCAUUUCCAGAAGCAGUGGUGUCAUCUGCCUGGGCUUCAGCAACCAUGAGGCACUGGGUGGAAACUCCCCUGGGCCCUUCCAGUGAGCAGAGACCAUGUCUAGAGAACAUUCUAGAAAACAUGUGUCUCUGACGCUCUGCAGAGGAAGGGACUGAGAACUCCCAUUUCUGGAAUUCCAUGUCAGUUCUAGAAGGUUCUACCUUGAAGACUGAAGCCAUUUUGCCAUGUGUGACUCAUACCAAGAAAAAAUAAAAAAUAAAACCGAGCUUCGACUUCGAGGAUCACGACAUCCCAGAAGCCCCUGGAGCAUCUGGGAGGAGCGACCCCUUGUUUCACCCAACAACACCCGGAGACAAGUUCUGUGUGUGAAACCGUUUUCAGAUGAGGAAAUUGAGGUAUGGAAAGGCCAAACACUUGCCCAAGUUCCCCCGCCGGUGAGCAGCAGGCCCAGGACUUGCUACUCAAGGAGCCGCCCACUUUGGGAGGCUGAGCAGCCUCCCUGAGCAGCCUCCCCAAGGAACAAUGGAUAGAGAAGCAGCCCCACACUCCUCCUCCUGACGAGUGCCUGUCACACAGUGCUUCACCCAUGUCACCUGGUGUCACCUGCCCCCUGAGGUGGCUAGCAUGAUGAUGUCCCUCUCCCAGGCGAGGAAGCCAACCAGCAGCAACCUGCCCAGCGAGUCAGCCGCAGAGCAGGGACUGGCCUAGGGCUGUGCCAUCUUCAGAGCCCUCUCUGGGCAGCGCACGUGGCGGCCCGUGUGCAGACAGCCCUGAGAAAAUGGAGUGAGCCAGUCAGGCCCAGGAGGCGGCGUGGGCUGUGGGAGGGAGCAGGGGCCAAAGCUCGCCUCUGCCUUCACCAAGAUCUGCUCUUCAUGGUCUAGCGAGGUGGCACCUGGCAGGGCCCCUGGCGCUGGGCUGGGGUCUGAGCCUGGCUUCUGGCCCCAGCUCUGCCCUGACAGGUCCAGUCUCUCUGCAGGCCUGGGCAGAGCCCCGAGGACCCUCUGCCCUGAUUGUGAGGCAGGAGCAGGAAGCAGGGUGACAGCACAGACUGCUGCCCACAGUGUCCUUUCAGUAGGUGCCUGAGGAGCAGCCCACUCCCGGGAGGCACUCACCCCUCCCCAAACUAGCCCCUCCACACACAGCACCCCCAGCCCCCGCAGAGGGCAGGGACGGCGGUACCACUGCUGGAGUACCAGCUAGAUACCAGGAGUGACAGGCUGCCUCUGUGCUGGCCACUUGCCAUGGAUUCAAGCAGACACUGUCACUGUACCCAUUUUACACACGAGAAGACUGAAGCUCCGAAAGUCAACUUGCUCAAGGUCACCACCGACCAAACACAAGGCCAGCUGACCCCAGUGGGCACAGUGCCUUGGGCCCACAGCGCUUUGAGGGGCCCAGGAAAAUGUUUAACUUCACUCAAAUCAAAAGAGGAAAAAAUGAACUUUUAAAGUAAAGACAAUGCUUUCAGAUAUAACACUAAUAUAUUCACCUUUAUACCAAUACAGCAGCAAAAUAUAGUUAACAUUUUUUUUUUUCUCUUUUAGUAAAGAAAGGGAUUGACAAAGGCCAAAGUGCCCGGGGUUUGUGGAAGUCACCACAUACUCACAGGCAGAACUUGAACUCAGAGCUGUUCCCUUCAAAGGUCCUGUCUGUCAAAGAAUCCUCCAGUGUCCUCCCAGCCUCUAAGGGGGACAAGCUGGGGGAGCUGAAGGGUCUACCCGUGUCCCUGGGAGCGUCACAGCCAGACACCCAGCUGGCCACAAUCCCAAGUGGGCAAGCUGGCCAGGCUCGAUUCCUGGCCUUCCAAGAAGCUGCUGGAGCAGAGAGACAUUUCAGGAGACUCCUUCAGGGAGAGAAGGCAGAGAACAAAGAGAGCCGGGGUAGGUGCUCACUCCUAAGCCGGAACACAUAGACAAGAAUGAUAAAGAUUAUCUGGAAGAACAUUCCAACUUUUCUUCUUCACUUGAAAGAAAACAGGAGGCAGCCUCCACCAUGGGAAUUCUGCCUAUGAAAGUCCAGGAAUAGCCCAAGGAGACAAAGAGUGCUGGCUUUGAGGGUACCCAGACCUGGGUUGAGUCCAUACUCGGCUAUUUAGUUUGCUAUGUGGCCUUGAAAAAGUUGCUUGACCUUUCUGAUUCCAUUUUCCCUUUUGUAACAUGGGAAUAAUAGCAACCCCAACCCCCAUAGGGGGUUGUAGUGAGAAUUGGCUGAAAUUUAAAAAUUUCUAUAUAGUAAAGCCCUUGCAAGGACUAAAAAAAAAAACCAAAAGAAUAUUCACUUAUUUCUUGGGGAAAGAAAAAAAAAAAACCUGAUUUGGACAACCCUAGGGCCUUGAGCAAUUAUGCCGUGGCCUUGCCUAAGACAUUGAUAAAUCUGUGCAGUAACCAGGGUCACACCGAGGGGUCGACCUCUUUCUCCCUCCAGGUCUUUGAGGGGAGUUUAGAGACGAGGUAGUGAUCUUGCUAAUAAAAGAGGUGACUUGCCUCCAAUUAAGGUGUCACCAGAGUCAGAAAUGCAUCAGCUGGGUGACUUGGUGAUUCAUGCCACUCUUGCGCCUUCCAAGUCCAGGAUUGCUCAACCCACGGCAGAAACCGUGAAAUGAGAGCAAAGGCCUGAGUAACAACCAGGUGAGGGUCCCGCACAGGUGAGCAGCCAUCGGUCUAGCAGGAGGGCCUGUCCCCCGGGAGGCUCAGGGCUAGAGUUAGAAUCACGCCAGGAGGAGGAACCCCCAGAGCUCUUGGCUAGACAGCCUCCCCCCCGAGAACUGCACCUCCCUCCUGCAACCCGGGUCCCAGAGCAGCACAUUUCAAACUGCGCGUGCGCAGGCACAGCCUGGGAUGCCAGUAACACUCGGCUUCAGACUGAGCGGGUCUGGGAUUCUCCUUCCCUUUCCUCCCCUCCUGCCCGUCCCCUCCCUUCCCCUCUGCCCCCUUUUCAUCUCCUUUCCUAGGGCCUUGCCAAGUUGCUGAGGCUGGCUUUGAACUUGUGAUUCUCCUGCCUCAGAAUCCCGAGCUGCUGGGAUUACAGGCGUGCCCCAGAAUUCGUCUGGGCUGAAUUCUGCAUUUCUGACACACUCUGGGCUGGUGCUUCAGAGCAUUAAGGACCCUGACUCUCCUCCUGGCCCCAUGACCUCUUGGGCUGUCCUCCACCAGGAGCCUGGCUCAGCUUUACUCCGAAACGUGGGAUCCGAGGACCCAACUGCACUGCUAAAAACUGGAUCCCUUGGGAUCUCUGUUAUUUGUGGGGAUGCAGGGAUAAAAAAUGGAUUCAACAGCAUGGCUGGCACAUACUGUGAUCUCCAUUACUUGGGGGGCCGAGGUAGAAGGAUGGCAAGUUCAAGCCCAGUCUGGGCAACUUAGCAAACCCCUUGUCGCAAGAUAAAAAUGAAAAGGGCUGGGGACCUAGCUGAGUGGCAGAGCAACUGCCUAGCACACGCGAGGUCCUGGAUUUCAUCUCCAGUGUGUGUAUGUACACACGCAUGUAGCAGGAUAAUUUAUUGAAAAGUUAAAUUUCUUUUCAUCUCAACAUACCUGCUCUACAUACUCUGUUCAGGCAAGUAGCAAGACCCCUUGAUGUCUGCCCUCAACCCCGGUGCUGGGGACUGGAUCCAGGGGUGCUCUUACCACUGAGUUACAUCCCCAGCCUUUUUAUUUUUUUGACACAGGAUCUCACAAAAUUUCCAAAGCUAGCCUUAAACUUGUGAUCCUUCUGCGCUGCUGGAAUGACAGGCGUGCACCACCGUGCGUGGCCUCUGGAUGCCUUCUUGCCCAAGGCUCUCUAAAUUACAACUAAGUACAGAAAUCAGACAAUUCCUUUUAAAAACAGAAGGCUCCAGAUAAAGCUGGGCCCUCUCCCAACA